rnacentral:misc_RNA from 1 species
CUACUUUCUGCGGCUUUGGCUUUGCUAUCCUGUUAGGCUUAUGGCUUGGUUUGGAUGAGUGAAGUGGCAACGGUUCAAGUGGCUUCUUUGUAUUCUUUGGCUGUGUGGCGGUGCAAUGUAAUAGUGCAAGUGGCUGCCCUUUCUGGCCUGGGCAGCUUUCGUAACCCCGUAAUGCAAAAGGCAAACUUUGCGUAGGAAAGGAAUCAAUCUCAAUUUCUAAAAGCAUUUUAUACCCUUAAACUUUGCUUCGCCAUCUCUCUUUAGUCCUUCCUUUCUUUGCUUAUAUAACCCCAUUGUCCACGGAUUCUUUCCUUUUUCUUCUCAUGUCCGGUCUCACAGCAAAAUAUUAACAACUUCCAGGAGGAACUUGCAGAAAUAUGUGUAAUCCAGUUGUGCCUUUGAUCAGCCAUAGGGCCUUGCUGAAGGAGAGAAGAUGGCUGGUUUUUCAGGCGGCUGAGACUGGGACUGAACAUGCAAGAACAGAAACAGCCGCUGGUGGUGCUGCUAGUGGUGGCUCGAUAAAGAGGUGUGUAUGCUCACCAACGAGGCACCCAGGAUCCUUCAGGUGCAGGCACCACCAUGCUGAUUAUGUGUGGGGUCGUAGACUAACAAAGAAGUAAGUCCGUUUGUAAUUAUAAAUAAAGUGGAAUCACUGCUGCCGCAGUCUAUGCAAAUUACAGAAAUUCUUGUAUGAAUUACUGUAAUGUUAGUUCCUUAAUUGCCUCCAGUUUACUUAUAAUUUAUAAUGUAUUUGCAGGAUUAAUUAGUUUAUCAGUGAUGUAGUCAUAUGGGUCCAACCAGCAUAUACAGAAGCAACAAACUCCAAAUGAAUAUAAUUCAACAAGUUUCAUACAAGAUGGGUUAAAAUUCAUAUAUACUGUAAUUCCCUGGUAAAUGAAUCCUUUUCACUGAUAGGACAGCCAAUCAAAGGAUAGACCAACUAGUAUAGUUAUUGAGGAAAAAAAAAAACUAGUAUGGUUUACUAAAAGGGCUACCGGAAACCUCAAAAUUUUUACCUCCAGCACCCAGCUAUAUCUCCUUCCACUUCAAGACAAUCUGCCAGUGUCCUAGGAUAAUGAUGAUGGCCCCCAUAUCACUCAGGAUAACAGUCUUGACGGACAAUAGUCUGGUUGUCAGUAUUCACGUACACUUCACAUGAUACUCUUGCCUUGAUGGGAAUUUUGAAAAACAAGAGCCCAAGCUCUCCAUGGACCUUGGUACUGGUAUCAAAGGGAAUAACACCCCUAGCCAAAUCCUCAAUCAAGUAAAACACAUCGUGUAUAAUCUCAAGACCAUUCAAAUCAAGCAAGGCAUUCACGUACGACGAUCCUCUCGCCCUAAUUUUCCCUCCCUGAGAACGCACAAGCCCCAGCUCUCUUCCUCUGUACCCAACCGAAACAUCGAGGGAACUAUAGUCUAAGGAAAAGAAGUCUCUGUUUCGAAUCCUGAUGACAAGAGAGAAGGAGAGGUCAAGAGUGAGUUUAGGGGGCGAGUUAACACGUACGUGAUUGAGUCGAAUUCGGGCGACUUGGAGAGUAGGGUCGGAGGGGUAGAGAAAGAAAGCAGCAGCAGAAAGGAGGAAGAUGGCGAAAGUGAAGAAGAUGCAGCGGCGGAGGAAGACGAGUGAUGGGUUGGGAGGUGGGUGGUAGUAAGACAGAACGAUGACGUUUUGGGGAACCGGGUCGGGGUGGGAAGGUAGAGAAGUAUACGGAACGGAGGAGGGUUUUGAGUUUGAGGUCAUCGUUUGCUGGUUCGGUGUUAUGCCGACGCGGUCAUGCUCCGCUUCCGCUGCCCCUCAGCUUAAUAAACCAAUCACUCGUUUGUUUGUGU